UACGGAGGGUGCAAGCGUUGUCCGGAUUUAUUGGGUUUAAAGGGUGCGUAGGCGGCCCGUUAAGUCAGUGGUGAAAGCCUCCAGCUCAACUGGAGAACUGCCAUUGAUACUGACGGGCUUGAGUACAGACGAGGUUGGCGGAAUUGAUUGUGUAGCGGUGAAAUGCGUAGAUAUCAAGAGGAACACCUGAGGUGAAGACGGGUUGCUGGGCUGACACUGACGCUGAGGCGCGAAAGCCAGGGGAGCAAACGGG
rnacentral:rRNA from 1 species